rnacentral:rRNA from 1 species
UACGGAAUGUGCAAACGUUAUUCGGAAUCACUGGGCUUAAAGAGUCCGUAGGCGGCAUGUUAGGUGAGGUGUGAAAUCCCCCGGCUCAACCGAGGAAUUGCGCUUCAAACCGGCGUGCUUGAGGAAGAUAGAGGUGGGCGGAACUGAUGGUGGAGCGGUGAAAUGCGUUGAUAUCAGGAGGAACACCUGCGGUGUAGACGGCUUACUGGACCAUAACUGACGCUGAGGCACGAAAGCGUGGGUAGCAAACAGG